rnacentral:rRNA from 1 species
UACAGAGGUCUCAACCGUUGUUCGGAUUCAUUGGGCGUAAAGGGUGCGUAGGCGGUCGUGCAAGUCGGAUGUGAAAUCUCAGGGCUCAACCCUGAAACUGCAUUCGAUACUGCGCGGCUAGAGUGCUGGAGGGGAGACUGGAAUUUACGGUGUAGCAGUGAAAUGCGUAGAUAUCGUAAGGAAGACCAGUGGCGAAGGCGAGUCUCUGGACCAGUUCUGACACUGAUGAGCGAAAGCCAGGGGAGCAAACAGG